GGCAAGGUGGCUGAUUAAGUGGUAGAUUGUAAAUCUAUAUAAGAAUUAAUAUUCCUUUGUUA
rnacentral:tRNA from 1 species